UACGAAGGGGGCUAGCGUUGCUCGGAAUCACUGGCGUAAAGCGCACGUAGGCGGAUUGUUAAGUCAGGGGUGAAAUCCUGGAGCUCAACUCCAGAACUGCCUUUGAUACUGGCGAUCUUGAGUCCGGGAGAGGUGAGUGGAACUGCGAGUGUAGAGGUGAAAUUCGUAGAUAUUCGCAAAGAACACCAGUGGCGAAGGCGGCUCACUGGCCCGGUACUGACGCUGAGGUGCGAAAGCGUGGGGAGCAAACAGG
rnacentral:rRNA from 1 species